GCUAAACGCGAAGAACCUUACCAAGGCUUGACAUAUACCUGAAAAGGCUGGAAACAGUCUCCCCGCAAGGCAGGUAUACAGGUGGUGCAUGGUUGUCGUCAGCUCGUGUCGUGAGAUGUUGGGUUAAGUCCCGCAACGAGCGCAACCCUCGUUCUAUGUUGCCAGCACGUAAUGGUGGGAACUCAUAGGAGACUGCCGGGGUCAACUCGGAGGAAGGUGGGGAUGACGUCAAAUCAUCAUGCCCCUUAUGUCUUGGGCUUCACGCAUGCUACAAUGGCCGGUACAAAGGGCUGCAAUACCGCAAGGUGGAGCGAAUCCCAAAAAGCCGGUCUCAGUUCGGAUUGAGGUCUGCAACUCGACCUCAUGAAGUCGGAGUCGCUAGUAAUCGCAGAUCAGCAUGCUGCGGUGAAUACGUUCCC
rnacentral:rRNA from 1 species